rfam:Pteropus alecto contig8832, whole genome shotgun sequence.
UCUCACUUUGGCAAAACAUAUCUAAAAUUAGAAUGAUAGAAGAUUAGCAUGGCCCCUGUGCAAGGAUGACGUGCGAAUUCAUGAAGCAUUCCAUGUUUUU